AGAAUCAACGCUGGCGGCGUGCCUAACACAUGCAAGUCGAACGAGAAAGGGUAGCAAUACCUGAGUAAAGUGGCGCACGGGUGAGUAACACGUGACUAACCUACCUUUUAGUGGGGGAUAACCUAGGGAAACCUGGGCUAAUACCGCAUAAUACCUACGGGUCAAAGCAGCAAUGCGCUGAAUGAGGGGGUCGCGGUCGAUUAGUUAGUUGGCAGGGUAAUGGCCUACCAAGACUGUGAUCGAUAUCCGGCCUGAGAGGGCGCACGGACACACUGGAACUGAAACACGGUCCAGACUCCUACGGGAGGCAGCAGUGGGAAUUUGCGCAAUGGGGGAAACCCUGACGCAGCAACGCCGCGUGGAGGAUGAAGUCCCUUGGGACGUAAACUCCUUUCGAUCGGGACGAUAAUGACGGUACCGGAAGAAGAAGCCCCGGCUAACUUCGUGCCAGCAGCCGC
rnacentral:rRNA from 1 species